GCAUAACGCGAAGAACCUUACCUAGACUUGACAUCUCCUGAAUUACUCGUAACGGAGGAAGCCUUUCGGGGCAGGAAGACAGGUGGUGCAUGGUUGUCGUCAGCUCGUGUCGUGAGAUGUUGGGUUAAGUCCCGCAACGAGCGCAACCCUUAUUGUUAGUUGCUACCAUUAAGUUGAGCACUCUAACGAGACUGCCGCGGUUAACGUGGAGGAAGGUGGGGAUGACGUCAAAUCAUCAUGCCCCUUAUGUCUAGGGCUACACACGUGCUACAAUGGCCGGUACACAAGAUGCAAUCCCGUGAGGGGGAGCUAAACUCAAAAGACCGGUCCCAGUUCGGAUUGUAGGCUGAAACUCGCCUACAUGAAGUUGGAGUUGCUAGUAAUCGCGAAUCAGCAUGUCGCGGUGAAUACGUUCCCGGGUCUUGUACACACCG
rnacentral:rRNA from 1 species